AUACGGAGGGUCCAAGCGUUAUCCGGAAUCAUUGGGUUUAAAGGGUUCGUAGGCGGGUCAAUAAGUCAGAGGUGAAAUCUUGCAGCUUAACUGUAAAAUUGCCUUUGAAACUGUUGACCUUGAAUUACUGUGAAGUGGUUAGAAUAUGUAGUGUAGCGGUGAAAUGCUUAGAGAUUACAUAGAAUACCGAUUGCGAAGGCAGAUCACUAACAGUAUAUUGACGCUGAUGAACGAAAGCGUGGGUAGCGAACGGGAUUAGAAACCCCAGUAGUCC
rnacentral:rRNA from 1 species